UUAAACCAUUUUAUUUUUCUUUCUUACAAGUAAUAUAAAAAGAAUUAUUACAAAUAAAGUAAUUUUUAACAAUGGAACACCAACAAUGACGGCACAGGUAAAGGCUAAGUCAGACCAUAUGAAAAGGUUAGUUCAGCCCCUGGGCUAAGGUCAGGUCAGACUCUAUGUUAAGGUAAGGUCAGACUCUGGGCUAAGGUCAGGUCAGACUCUAUGUUAAGGUAAGGUCAGCCCCUGGGCUAAGGUAUGGUCAGCCCCUGGGCUAAGGUAUGGUCAGCCCCUGGGCUAAGGUAAGGUCAGACUCUGGGCUAAGGUAAGGUCAGCCCCUGGGCUAAGGUAAGGUCAGCCCCUGGGCUAAGGUCAGGUCAGACUCUAUGUUAAGGUAAGGUCAGACUCUGGGCUAAGGUCAGGUCAGACUCUAUGUUAAGGUAAGGUCAGACUCUGGGCUAAGGUCAGGUCAGACUCUAUGUUAAGGUAAGGUCAGACUCUGGGCUAAGGUAAGGUCAGCCCCUGGGCUAAGGUAUGGUCAGCCCCUGGGCUAAGGUAUGGUCAGCCCCUGGGCUAAGGUAAGGUCAGACUCUGGGCUAAGGUAAGGUCAGCCCCUGGGCUAAGGUAAGGUCAGCCCCUGGGCUAAGGUAAGGUCAGACUCUGGGCUAAGGUAAGGUCAGCCCCUGGGCUAAGGUAAGGUCAGCCCCUGGGCUAAGGUAAGGUCAGCCCCUGGGCUAAGGUAAGGUCAGCCCCUGGGCUAAGGUAAGGUCAGCCCCUGGGCUAAGGUAAGGUCAGACUCUGGGCUAAGGUAAGGUCAGCCCCUGGGCUAAGGUAAGGUCAGCCCCUGGGCUAAGGUAAGGUCAGACUCUGGGCUAAGGUAAGGUCAGCCCCUGGGCUAAGGUAAGGUCAGCCCCUGGGCUAAGGUAAGGUCAGACUCUGGGCUAAGGUGAGGUCAGACUCUGGGCUAAG